AUAUCUUCUGACAGGAGAGAUACCAUGAUCAUUAAGGUGGUUUUCCCAGGGUGAGGCUUAUCCAUUGAAUUCCAGAUGUGCUGACCCCUUGAUUUCCCCAAAUGUGGGAAAGUCAACUGCAUGAUUUGUGGUAGUGGAGAACGAAGUUCGUGUUCUUCCUUU